ACAUAAGAUACUAUGAUCAUCAGAGUCGUAGUCAGUUGUCAUUGUAGUCUACACCUAUACUACCACCUUUCGAGUCCUCAAAAACUUAGUGCUUUGUGUUUCUCAGCUCUAAGAACAGUAUGUCCAAUUGACUGAGGUGUUCUCCUGAGUCUUUCGGCUACUAUGUCUGAGGAACUGAGUGCUUUUGGGUAAGAAGGAAGAGAUAUAUUUCGGACCAAAUUGGGACCAUAAGGAACCUGAUUCUGUAGGGAAUGUGUGUUAAAGUGUCCUUGCUGGUUAAGCGUUGUUACUGACUCUUCAGCUGCACGCCGUCUUGAGGCAUC
rnacentral:lncRNA from 1 species